AUUUAGGAAUUUUAUUGAUUUCAAUAAAUUGUUUAAAAUUAAAUUUUACUUCAUGGGCUUGGGUAGGCUCAUUCUUGUUUAUUAACAGAUGCAAUAAAGCAGGAAUCAAGAUAAGAUUCACCACCAGCAGAAUCCAAUACAUAGGGGAUACAAGAAGAGAAUAAGCGAGAUUUAUGCCAUUAUACUCAUACGAACAUAACAGCUAACAUUAACACACAUGUAUAAGAACAUCUUUGUCAUUCAAUGUGGUAUAAUGUAUGUUGAUAGGAAGCUAAGGAACAUUUUGACUGUGUUGAUGAUGAUGAAUUUGAGAAGUAUGUAGUACUGGUAAUUUACGACAAGGUGCCUUGACUAUUAUAGGUUGCGGGGCAUUAUAAGAUAAGAGGAAAUUAUAGGUAAGUGAUUUGAGUUGAGGAAAACACCCACUAGGGUGAAUGAGUUACUUCACUGUAAUGUAGAUUCUAAUUGCUUGAGGUGCUGAUUUGGGCUUACUGAACGAUUUAUGCUCAUCCUGUUAUUUAAUGUUGUUUUUUCAAAUCUAAUAAAAUAAGAGGGUGAUCCCUAUACAGUCAACCUAGUUCUUGAAGCAUGGAGGAAAUAAGAAAAGGGAAAACUAAAGUUGUGUAGGAGUGAGAUUAAAUAGAGGUUCAUACAGCAAAUAGGAAUACAAGAACAAUGCUUCUAAAAAAGAGAAGGAAAAAAAAAUAGCAAGAGGCAAUAGGAUAGAUAAAGAAAAUUUAUACAUUCAGUUGGUAAGAUUUCGAAACUAUAUUAAUGUAUGAACGCAUGUUUUGGAUCUUCUCAAAUUUUGUUUAUAUGAUAUAUAUAUUUUCUUGAUAU
rnacentral:lncRNA from 1 species